rnacentral:tRNA from 1 species
UGUUCUGUGGCUUAGUUGGUUAAAGCGCCGGUCUAGCGAAUACGGAGUCGUGGGUUUUUUCGUGGGAUUCGAUCCCACCAGAACGC